rnacentral:SRP_RNA from 1 species
GCUGGGCCUAGGGACACAGGCCUGUUGUCCUAGCUAUUCUCAGGAGGCUGAGGCAGGGGGAUUGCUUGAGUCCAGGAGCUAUGCUGAUCAGGUAUCUGCACUAAGUUUGGUAUCAGUGUGGUGAUCUCUGGGGAGUGGGGUAACACCAUGUUGCUUAAGGAUGGGUGAAUAGGCCCAGGUUGGAAAUGGAGUAGGUCAAAACUCCCAUUGCUGAUCAUAUGGACUUCAGUUCCACAUGGUGACGUUUGUUAGCCUCCUCCUGAUUCU